UACGAAGGGGGCUAGCGUUGUUCGGAGUUACUGGGCGUAAAGGGCGCGUAGGCGGCGCACCAAGUCAGGCGUGAAAGCCCUGGGCUCAACCCGGGAAUUGCGCUUGAGACUGGUGUGCUUGAGUACGGGAGAGGAUAGUGGAAUUCCCAGUGUAGAGGUGAAAUUCGUAGAUAUUGGGAAAAACACCGGUGGCGAAGGCGGCUAUCUGGACCGUAACUGACGCUCAUGCACGACAGCGUGGGGAUCAAACAGG
rnacentral:rRNA from 1 species